UUCCAUUGGACUCGUUCCUGAGGUUAUUUCUCUUUGUGGUCUUCUAGGGAAACAUUCAUUGGAGGUUUCAGAAACUGAUUGGGAUCGUCCUUGCUUGAUGAAUUAUCAGGUCACUCAAGAGGUUCAGAUUUAGAAUGACGUCUCCAUAAUUUCCAAGUAGAGGUAAGGUACCAAAGUACGGAUGGUGACGUCGUGAUGAAGGCCAUUGAACCAGUGGUAGGUUAAUAACACUUUAUGUUUAUUUAGUAACCCUUAGAUUGAUUCAAAGUAAUAUUUUUAUUUUUCUUUAUU